UGCUGCUUGUGGCGGUUAUAAAAGAAAAUUGCAAUGAUUCCGACAAGUGCAGCCAGUUUUGCUGUUUCUUUAGUUUGGUUGUUAUGGCUCAGAUUGCCUAAGGCGCUCCUCUGCAAUUUGCUCUUUGAAAGUCAAAUGUUCGCUUAAAAGUGAAGGACGACUCAGCAGUGGGAGCAUUUUCGUUGCUUUCAACAUACAGUCAAUUUCUUUUAAUGAGCCAGACAGGAAUAUUAUUGUCAUCAACUUUUUGAAGAAUCGGAGAAGUAUUCAAUGGCUGGAAGUCCAGACGACGAUUUUUUGAGAUGUUCUUGAUUUUGCAAAAAUACAAGUCCACUUUUUCUUCAGCCAAGUGACCAGUAUACAUAGAUGUAGCUUAUGAGGCAAGACCGUGAAAGGACUAGUCGGAAUACCGAAAGCUAGCGCUUCGAAUAUAAAGGUUCAGUGUUCAUCUUAUGUGAGAAACUUUCUACGCAUAAUUUUCGAUUCAUUUGCGGCUAAUAAUCCAAAAUAUUCCUUCAUAUGUUUUUUAAACUACAAAUUAUACGUACAUAUACAGACGUAGAUAUUAUGUUCACCCUAAAAAAACAAACAUUGUCUAUUACCGAAUAUUGUGUUCUAUAUGCAUGUAUAUAAAUUGAUCAUACACCUAUUUUCGAUUUACUUCGUGCAUAAAAGUAUACAUAUGUACAUAUAAAGUACGUACAUUGAAUACCGUUUGUUCAAUGUCCAAAUAUAUUUAUCUGAAUAAGGCACUAUCCCAAAACUUCGAGUAAUUGAUAUUGACAUAUAAAUGAUUAAAAAACUAGAACGAA